CAAUCUUCAAAUCAAGAAAUGUUUGCUAUUUCGCUGUCGUCAUGCAGACGUUAUAAUGCAAAUGUUAAAUUGGACCAAUCAGUGUCCGCUGUUCAUGACAGCCCGCCAUAUAUUUGAGAUCAGUGAGGAUGACCACCCACGGUUGGUCACCCACGCCCGCGAUAUUUGAUGAACUUUAGACUCCGCUAAUGCUUUCGUUUCCCCGGGUGUAAAUAGCCGGGGGGAAUUAGUACCCUCGCACGGCGCUUCGCGCCGUCGGCUCGGGGAUAAUCAGUGAUAACCGAACAAUAGCGUUCGUAUUUUGUCUAUAUUCAUUCCGAGGUUUAAGGCGAUUUCCGAUGAGUUCCAGGGGCGUCCUGGACUAGCUAACUGGAAUGAGAACCGGUGAUCUCGUAAUUAAAUCGGCAAACGUAACAGAAAGAACACAGAACACCACAAAAAAACGUUAAUAUAAAUCUUUAAUUGCAAAAUUUAUUUCACUUGCACAUUUUCCUGCACAUGAGAAUGCAUUUUAAAUGAUAACAAAAUUAUCUUUUAAAUAUGAAUACACAAUAUUUCCAAUAUUUCAAAGCAAGGAAAUAUAAUAUUAGGCUACACAGUACACAUCCUUCACGGAUAUAUUACCACUAAGCUGUUAGAAUUACAGAACUCGGCAGAUUAAUUGACAUGUAGUUUACAAAGCAAGCAAAGUCUGAAAUGCAAAACCAUUAAACAUUAAACCAAGACCUGUGGCCGUCUUUAGCAACAAAGCCAGUGUCCUUGUCCAACUUAAAGAGGUUCCCUACAGUUUCCAAUAUAGUAUAUAUAUAUAUAUAUGUAUAUAUAUAUAUA